UGCUUGAGCCCAGAAGUUCUGAGCUGUAACACAUUAUGCCUAUAUAGUGUCCACACUAAAUUUGGCAUCAAUAUUGUGACCUCGAGAGCAGAGGACCACCUGGUUGCCUAAGGAGGGGUGAGUUGUCCUAGGUCAGAAACAGAGCAGGUCAAAACUCUCCUACUGAUCAGUAGUGGGACUGCGCUUGUGAAUAGCCAUUGCACUCCAGCCUGGGCAAUUUAGCA
rnacentral:sRNA from 1 species